GUUAAAAAGCUCGUUGUUGGAUUUCUGGUGGGCGGACAGAGCGGCAUGAUGUGUCGCUUGCGUUCCCUGCCAUCCUUCUGUUAAACCGGUACGGCGUUCGUUCGCUGACCGGCGGCUCAGAUAUUUUACCUUGAGAAAAUUAGAGUGUUUCAGGCAGGCUCGGCCGGGAUACAUUAGCAUGGAAUAAUGGAAUAGGACUCCAGCCUCUUCUGUUGGUCUGAGGGGUUGAAGUAAUGAUUAAUAGGGAUAGUUGGGGGCAUUAGUACUUAACUGUCAGAGGUGAAAUUCUUGGAUUUGUUAAAGACUAACUUAUGCGAAAGCAUUUGCCCAAGGAUGUUUUCAUUAAUCAAGAACCGAAAGUUAGGGGACCGAAAGACGAUCCGAUACCGUCCUAGUCUUAACCCAUAAACCUAUGCCGACUCGGGAUUGGAGGGCGGAAAUGU
rnacentral:rRNA from 1 species